GUCUCAUGUGACCCAACCUUCACUACGGUCACACCUUGCUGUAAUAUGAUGCAUACCACUCAUUUUGGAUAGGCUACAGGAAAAAAUAACUGGAGCACUUCCUGAGGAAAUUCAUGCAUUCAUAUGCGGUCGGGGUGGCAUUCUCUUCUCCGCUCUGGCUGAUCCCUGAAGUGAUAAAGCCACAAUGGAGAGGCGCCGUUCUCUCACCAUGGGUAUGAUAAUGAGGCAGAGGAUGAAUGGGCCUGUGAAUACAACUCAACUGAACAGACGUCAGCCUCUUCUCAGGAUCCUCAAUACCACAUCACAACUGCCCUCCCCACCACUGCUACACUUACCUCCCUACAUGCACAGCACAGCACACAGUUGUACAUUUGUCUUGAUUUGAAAUAAACAGGCAACUUCAAAAUGAUAGUAUAAUGCAAUGAUGUCAUGCAACUUGUAUGUAGCUAGGGAUUAUUUAACACUUGAACUAGCACUUCCUGAAACAAUUAUGAAAAGUUAUUUUUGGCCCCGUCUAAAGCCCUAGUGACCCAUUAAUAAUGAGCUGUAU